rnacentral:sRNA from 1 species
GUUAAAAUAGCAAGAUAAUUCCAGAUGCUAUAUGAAAAUCAGGCAAUCAUAAUCUGCCUAUGGUGCUGGGCAGCAAAAAGAAAACAGGCAGUCUUCCAUAUUGGAGCGUCAACUUUUGAUAAUGCAUCUAAAAGUAGUAUGCACAUGCCUCCUCCCCUUCCAUUUGGCCAGUUUGAGUCCCUUUCUUUUUCAGCUGGUCUUACUCUGAAUGUACUCUAAAUGGAUUUAAAGACAUUAUCUUAAAUCCCUCCUCUCCGAAGCCUCACAGAGCUGCUGCUUGCAGAGCAUGGGAGGCGCCGGCGGGGACUGGAGCACGGUGCGCACCCCAGCCAAGCUUGUGUGUGCUUCUGGCAGAGCUUUUAGACUGAAGAUUUUCCCUUCGUAGUGCCAGAAGUGUUACUAGAACUUCCCCAGCUAAAAGAGGGAGAUGCUAACGUCUCUUCCUCUAAGGAUAGGCCUGUCAAAUAGAGUUAGCGUGAAGACCCCAGCUUGACCAGAGAUGGUGACACCUGGGGAUUUAUGGUCAGUGACCUGAGUCCUCCUUGCCACUGGCUGGUCUGUGUUCAUUUUAACAUGAACAUGUUUUAAUGCAGACUGUUGAAGCUAACUGUUUCAAAACAGUCAUUAAAAAUACACAUGUAGGAUCACGUGUAUUAGAGACUUUGUUUGGAAUCUGGAGUGGAAGCUCUGACUCCUGCUGCGCCCCUCUUUAGGGGUCUCUCCCUCGGGGUCCACUUGGCUCGAGGCGGCAGCGAGCCCAGCAGCUGAGUGGCCGGCGGCACACGACCCAGAGGGAAGGAGAGGCCUGCACCCCGCUGCCUCCUGGACCCAGCUUUGCUGCUGUCACUGUUUCUUCAGGAGAGGCUGUAGGCAAACCCUUGUUUUCCGGCAUGAAAACAACUCUGGUCCCAGCAGCGGGGGCUCUUUUCUGCGUCUCGCUGUUUCAGGAGCCUGCUAUUCCCGGGAUUCUCAAAGUUUUCCUGCGCUACUAAGCACCAGUUUCUGCUAACGGUGACAAAAAUUGUGUGUGUAAGAACCAGAGCCGAGGCUCAGAGUGAAAACAGACAAGUAGUAUAUAAUCUAAGUGACUUUUUAAAAUGGAGGAGCCAUUUUGGAAGCGUGAGAAACAGACAGUGUUUUGAGGAUUGUCUGGGUGGAAGGGCAGGGCUGGGUGGUGUGGCCGCCCCUCGACCCGUAGCUGGUGGUCCUGGAGCGUGGUGACUGUGCUUGCCUCCACGGGUCCUGCUGGGGCUGUAGCCUGGCCCGUUUCCGCUUUUGCCACUGGGGCUUGCUCAGCUGGAUUCCUUAACGCACGCACACCUGAACCUGCAGACCAAGCCCGUGGACCCGACUGUGGAGGGGGGCGCGCAGGUGCAGCAGGUGGUCAACAUAGAGUGCGUGUCUGACUUCACGGAGGCGCCAGUCCUCAACAUUCAGUUCAGGUAAGAGCCGUCUGUGCGCCCCGGGCCAAGGCGUGUGUGGGCGCCUGAGCUGUGUGCCUGGGCUCCAUGACUGUGCCUCCGUGUCCUUCCUGAGGGGACCCAGGGCAUGCGGUGCUCACGGUGCAUGGAUGUGGCCUGAGCUGUUGCUGCCCCAGCUCUGCAGAGCGCAGGAAACAAGGGGAGGCGAAGCCCUGGGCUCCGGGACGCAGGUGGCAGCUCCCACAUGGGGCCUUGCUAGGAUCUUUCUGGGCACCGUGGGGCCCACCUCAUGGGGUGGCAGACAGCCAGGGCCCCCGCGCCACCUGCCCGGCUUGGUACCAGAUGACAGCUGUGGGGUGAAGGCGGCUGGUUUCCUUCGGAUCCUGGCCUGGGGGGUGCGUUUUUUGCUCAGUUGAGCUCAGAUCAUACCACUUUGCUUAUUUUUUAAAAGCAGAGGAUUUUCCUGUUGCGACCGUUCAUUACUGUCACUUUUCAGUGACUACAAAUAGCGUGUACACAGUCAGCCCCGCCCCGUGCCGGGUGUCUGCAAGGUUAGGGGUGUUGAGAAAAGCACACUUGCUAACAUUAAAAAUACAGAGAACUUAAGAUUGUAUACUGUAGAAUUCGGGAACAUAGACGGGCAAAUUUUUGUUUCAUUCUUUGUGCAAAUGCCUUUGCCUUUUUAAAGGAAAAACAUCACACUAUUUGCACAGACUUGGAGUUCUGGGAAACAGAUGAAUAGGGAGAAGUGAGGCACAGGGACAUCCUGCCUGAGUAUGCGGCCCUGGACUGUCCUCCUGUCUGUGGGUGACACUGGACACUGAGCCACACAUGAUCCCUGGGGACUCAAGGCUCGGCCCCCCCCCCGACCCGCUCUGGUGGGUGGCGGUAGGUGGGGAUGCUUCUCACUCCAGGCUCUUUCCUGGUCCCUGGGGCUCUCAGAGGAGAAGCUGACUGUCUCUUUCUGCUGCUGCUGCUGGCAGGUAUGGGGGCACCUUCCAGAACGUGUCUGUGCAGCUGCCCAUCACUCUCAACAAAUUCUUCCAGCCAACAGAAAUGGCUUCUCAGGAUUUCUUUCAACGUUGGAAGCAGUUGAGCAAUCCGCAGCAGGAAGUGCAGAACAUCUUCAAAGCAAAGCACCCAAUGGACACAGAAGUCACCAAAGCCAAGAUCAUUGGAUUUGGUUCUGCACUUCUUGAAGAAGUUGAUCCCAAUCCUGCGAAUUUCGUGGGAGCUGGAAUCAUCCACACGAAAACCACCCAGAUCGGAUGCCUGCUGCGCCUGGAGCCGAACCUGCAAGCCCAGGUCAGGCCCUCAGGAAAUGGCUGAACACACUUGAGUUGCUUGUUAUUCUGGCACAAUGUACAUGGUGAGAUGUGUAGCUCUUUAGUGCAGCUCAGUCAGUUUUGACAGAUGUUGUGUGCCCGUUUGACCACUACCCCAUCAAUACGUGGUUGCAUCCCAGCCUCCCCACAGCUGGCCACCAUGGAGCAUUGUCCCACCAUGGAGCAGCCUGGCCCUGGGCGGUGGCUCUCCCAGCUGCUCCUCUGUCACCGCGUUGUUCCUUCUCACCACGUCCCAUUCUGUCGACGGACACCUGUCUCCGUUUCACUCAGGCGGCACCCAGGAGUGCUGCUGCUGCCCAGGGCCUGUGUGUGGUUAGUGCUGCGAGAAGCCGUCCCACAGCUUCUCCAGGUGGCCAUGCCACUUCACACUCCCACCAGCUACGUAUGAGGUGCCAGGCGCUCCCAUGCCAUCCCUCACUUUUCGUGCUGACAGUGUGUGUGGUGCUCAGGCCUCUGCCGAGCUGUGGGUGCCUCCUCCCUGGGCGUGGCCCACAGCGUUCUGCAUGGCGGGUCCUGGACCUGAGGGCUGUGUGAGCCUCGGCAUGCCCGCUGACCCGCUGUGCUCUCUGUUUCAGAUGUACCGGCUCACGCUGCGGACGAGUAAGGAAGCCGUUUCUCAGAGAUUAUGUGAAUUGCUCUCAGCGCAGUUUUAGUCAUGAGGAUGGAAGACCAGGCUCGUGUGUCUUGCGUUGUCUUCGUCUGUGCCGUUUGUCUUCGUGGCCAUCCUGCAGAUGAGCACCCUGUGUCCAGUGCCACAGCACAAGGCGCCUCCCCGCCCCGCUGCCCCAGACCUCUCCCCUUUGGGCUGGACAGGAACACACGUGUGUGGCUCAGGAGGAAAAGCUCAGCCUGGACUGCGGCAGCCACGGCAGAAGGUGGAUCUUGGGAUCAAUUUUUAUAAAAAUCGAGACAGUUCUGUGGUUAAAUCUACAAAUUAAAGGGAAAUUAGAAGUUGG